AUUGAACGCUGGCGGCAUGCUUUACACAUGCAAGUCGAACGGUAACAGGCCUUCGGGUGCUGACGAGUGGCGGACGGGUGCGUAAUGCAUCGGAACGUGCCCAGUGGUGGGGGAUAACGCAGCGAAAGCUGUGCUAAUACCGCAUGUGAUCUGAGGAUGAGAGCGGGGGAGCAAGCAGCAAUGUUUGGCCUCGCGCCUCUGGAGCGGCCGAUGUCGGAUUAGGUAGUUGGUGGGGUAACGGCCUACCAAGCCGACGAUCUGUAGCUGGUCUGAGAGGACGACCAGCCACACUGGGACUGAGACACGGCCCAGACUCCUACGGGAGGCAGCAGUGGGGAAUUUUGGACAAUGGGCGCAAGCCUGAUGCAGCAAUGCCGCGUGAGGGAAGAAGGCCUUCGGGUUGUAAAACGCUUUUGUACGGAACGAAAAGACUCUGGCUAAUACCUGGGGCUGAUGACGGUACCGUAAGAAUAAGCACCGGCUAACUACGUG
rnacentral:rRNA from 1 species